rnacentral:rRNA from 1 species
UACGUAGGGGGCAAGCGUUGUCCGGAAUCAUUGGGCGUAAAGAGCGUGUAGGCGGCCAGAUAAGUCCGCUGUGAAAUCUCGAGGCUCAACUUCGAGCUGUCGGUGGAAACUGUCUGGCUAGAGUCCGGAAGAGGAGAAUGGAAUUCCUGGUGUAGCGGUGAAAUGCGCAGAUAUCAGGAGGAACACCGAUGGCGAAGGCAGGUCUCUGGGCAUUAACUGACGCUGAGGAGCGAAAGCAUGGGGAGCGAACAGG